rnacentral:rRNA from 1 species
AGAGUUUGAUCCUGGCUCAGAUUGAACGCUGGCGGCAUGCCUUACACAUGCAAGUCGAACGGUAACAGGUUAAGCUGACGAGUGGCGAACGGGUGAGUAAUGUAUCGGAACGUGCCCAGUCGUGGGGGAUAACUACUCGAAAGAGUGGCUAAUACCGCAUGAGACCUGAGGGUGAAAGCGGGGGAUCGCAAGACCUCGCGCGAUUGGAGCGGCCGAUAUCAGAUUAGCUAGUUGGCGGGGUAAAAGCCCACCAAGGCGACGAUCUGUAGCUGGUCUGAGAGGACGACCAGCCACAUUGGGACUGAGACACGGCCCAGACUCCUACGGGAGGCAGCAGUGGGGAAUUUUGGACAAUGGACGAAAGUCUGAUCCAGCCAUGCCGCGUGCGGGAAGAAGGCCUUCGGGUUGUAAACCGCUUUUGUCAGGGAAGAAACGACGUCCUCUAAUACAGGGUGUUAAUGACGGUACCUGAAGAAUAAGCACCGGCUAACUACGUGCCAGCAGCCGCGGUAAGACGUAGGGUCCAAGCGUUAUCCGGAUUUACUGGGCGUAAAGCGCGCGUAGGCGGUCUGUUAAGUGCACAAGUGAAAGCUCCGGGCUCAACUCGGAAAUUGCUUUGCAUACUGGCAGGCUGGAGGGACGCAGAGGUCUGUGGAAUUCCUGGUGUAACGGUGAAAUGUGUUGAUAUCAGGAGGAACACCCAUGGCGAAGGCAGCAGACUGGGCGUUUUCCUGACGCUGAGGCGCGAAAGCGUGGGUAGCAAACAGGAUUAGAUACCCUGGUAGUCCACGCCCUAAACGAUGGAUACUAGGCGUAGGAGGUAUCGACCCCUCCUGUGCCGCAGCAAACGCAUUAAGUAUCCCGCCUGGGGAGUACGGCCGCAAGGUUGAAACUCAAAUGAAUUGACGGGGACCCGCACAAGCGGUGGAGCAUGUGGAUUAAUUCGAUACUAACCGAAGAACCUUACCCACUCUUGACAUUGAAGGAAAGCUCUAGAGAUAGAGCCCUCUCUCACAAGGAGACCUGAAUACAGGUGCUGCAUGGCUGUCGUCAGCUCGUGCCGUGAGGUGUACGGUUAAGUCCGCCAACGAGCGCAACCCUCGUUCUGUGUUACCAGCGAGUAAUGUCGGGCACUCACAGGAGACCGCCGGUGUAAGCCGGAGGAAGGUGGGGAUGAUGUCAAGUCAGCAUGGCUCUUACGAGUGGGGCUUCACACAUGCUACAAUGGGCGCAACAAAGGGCAGCGAUACCGCGAGGUGGAGCAAAUCCCAAAAAUACGUCCUCAGUACGGAUAGGAG